rnacentral:rRNA from 1 species
AGUGAACGCUGGCGGUAGGCCUAACACAUGCAAGUCGAACGGCAGCACAGUAAGAGCUUGCUCUUACGGGUGGCGAGUGGCGGACGGGUGAGGAAUACAUCGGAAUCUACUUUUUCGUGGGGGAUAACGUAGGGAAACUUACGCUAAUACCGCAUAUGACCUACGGGUGAAAGCAGGGGAUCUUCGGACCUUGCGCGAUUGAAUGAGCCGAUGUCGGAUUAGCUAGUUGGCGGGGUAAAGGCCCACCAAGGCGACGAUCCGUAGCUGGUCUGAGAGGAUGAUCAGCCACACUGGAACUGAGACACGGUCCAGACUCCUACGGGAGGCAGCAGUGGGGAAUAUUGGACAAUGGGCGCAAGCCUGAUCCAGCCAUACCGCGUGGGUGAAGAAGGCCUUCGGGUUGUAAAGCCCUUUUGUUGGGAAAGAAAGGCAGCAGGUUAAUACCCCGCUGUUCUGACGGUACCCAAAGAAUAAGCACCGGCUAACUUCGUG